GUGUGGGGCGAGCGACUUUAGGUCGCGAAGCAAUUGGAAGUGGUUCCAAGAAAAGCCUCUAAGCUUCAGUCAUACGAGACCGUACCGCAAACCGACACAGGUGGGCGAGAUGAGUAUUCUAAGGCGCUUGAGAGAACUCGGGAGAAGGAACUCGGCAAAUUGGUACCGUAACUUCGGGAUAAGGUACGCCCUUGUAGUUUGACUGGCUCGCGCCAGAAGGACGAAGGGGUUGCAAUAAAAUGGUGGCUGCGACUGUUUAAUAAAAACACAGCACUCUGCAAACACGAAAGUGGACGUAUAGGGUGUGACGCCUGCCCGGUGCCGGAAGAUUAAAUGAUGGGGUGCAAGCUCUUGAUUGAAGUCCCGGUAAACGGCGGCCGUAACUAUAACGG
rnacentral:rRNA from 1 species